GAUUAACGCUGGCGGCGUGCAUAACACAUGCAAGUCGAACGAUGAAACUUAAAUGAUUUCUUCGGAAUGAACUUAAGUGGAUUAGUGGCGGACGGGUGAGUAACGCGUGAGUAACCUGCCUUACACAAGGGGAUAGCCGUUGGAAACGACGAAUAAUACCCUAUGAAACUAUCACUUCGCAUGAAGCGAUAGUCAAAGUGUUAGCAGUGUAAGAUGGACUUGCGUCUGAUUAGCUAGUUGGUGAGAAAAAAGCCCACCAAGGCAACGAUCAGUAGCCGGCUUGAGAGAGUGUACGGCCACAUUGGGACUGAGACACGGCCCAGACUCCUACGGGAGGCAGCAGUGGGGAAUUUUGCACAAUGGGGGAAACCCUGAUGCAGCGACGCCGCGUGAUUUAGAAGGCCUUCGGGUUGUAAAAAUCUUUUGUAUAGGAAGAAAAUGACAGUACUAUACGAAUAAGGUCCGGCUAAUUACGUG
rnacentral:rRNA from 1 species